UACGUAGGGGGCAAGCGUUGUCCGGAUUUAUUGGGCGUAAAGAGCGUGUAGGCGGCUAGGUAGGUCCGUUGUGAAAACUCGAGGCUCAACCUCGAGACGUCGAUGGAAACCAUCUGGCUAGAGUCCGGAAGAGGAGAGUGGAAUUCCUGGUGUAGCGGUGAAAUGCGCAGAUAUCAGGAAGAACACCCGUGGCGAAGGCGGUUCUCUGGGACGGUACUGACGCUGAGACGCGAAAGCGUGGGGAGCGAACAGG
rnacentral:rRNA from 1 species